CCCAUUUUACCGUUAUAUUUUUUACCGGUAAAAACUCAGUUAACGUUAUUUUUAACGUUACUUAUCUAUACCGUUACUGUUAAUUGCUACUGUUAACGUUAUAGGUAACGAAAUUAUUACGCUCGUACAAUGUAAGAAAGAGACAGAUUAGAUUUGUAAUUUUCUUUAUUGGUUUUUGAAUUAUUACAGAAUACGCCGUUUGUUUAGUGUGCACAUAUGUGAUCUAUUUUUAAAACAGUGAUGGAAUAUGAAAUAAGCCGUUCGUUGUGUAUUAUGUGUAAUACUGUAUCCAUAUAGCUUUAGAAUUAGUGCAAUAUAAAUUGGAAGUACUUAAUUACAAUUACGUAAUUACACAUGCAUUAUUUAGAAGUUAAGUAUGAGUAGCUUUCUUAAAAGUCAACACGGACUGUUUUUGUAGACCAAUGAAAGAAGAACAAUUCUACCAUACCUACAUUAUUUGUUAUUGUUACAUGUCAAAGUGUUUAAGCAGUGUUUUCGAUAAAACUUUUUUUUUACAACUAGGUCGGCAAACUGGCACUAGUUACGUAUGUACUAUACUAAUCUUCGAAUAAGCGUACGGCUCACCCGAUGGUGACCCUGUUGGAUAUAUUUAUUUGGAAAAAGUAUUAAAAUAUCUUAAGAAACCAUCAUACCACUUAAUAAGACUUUUAAGAUAAUAAGUCUUUAUAAUUCUGUAAAACUGAAAAGAUAAAAUAUUCUCUAAAAUUUCAGAUUUUCGGACUUAUACUUUUAAAAGUCUUAUUAAGACAUGAAGAUUUUUUAAGAUUUUUUUUCAACAAAUAUUGAAACCAGGUUAGCGAUUUCCGUAGAUUACAGCCCUGCAACACCAGCAGCAUCACAAGCGUUUUGUUUACAUUAUAUGUUGUUAUAUUGCUUAAUUUAUGCAUUUAAAAGUUCGCAAAACAAAUCCAGUCAAGGUCAGAUAAUAUAAAACUUGCGUAAACAAUAGAAAUCAAUAUGUGAAUUAGAUAGUAAGAAUAAUUAAAAAUUGUUAUGCAGAAACUAAACGUUAUAAACUUUUUCUUAAAUAAUAGAUCUAAUAAUUCCAAUGAUUGCUUUUAAAAGUUCAAUGAUUAUUUUUUGUAUAAACUUAUAAAGUCUGAUCGUCUCUUAUUGAAUAUCAUAUAUAUUAAUACCUACGCUAAGGUUUAAGAUGUUUGCCUCCCUUUUGGGAAAAACCCUCAUAGGUAAUUUCUCAACAUAAAUUAUGUAUCAUUUUAUUAUAGAUAAUUGCUUGCUCUACUGACAUCAACAACUAAAAAUUUAUGAUUGCUUUUGUUUUGUAAAUUAAUUAAUUAUUAAAAUUAUAUAGGUAUAUGACUGCUUUAAUUUUGAAACAAGGUCAACAUGAUUGACGGUCCGUAAUUUUUUUAUUGUUCAAUUUCAAAUCAAUUCACGUACCUAUAAUAAUACUUUUUUGUAAUUUUGUAAAGUGAUAAUUAUUAUACUUAUUUAGUGCGAAUUAUUUGCACGGGUAUAUCUAGUAAAGGGUAUAAUACUACAAAGAUAAAAUUUACCAGGUGACUGUAGGUACUCGAACCGAAGCAGAAAUUAAUAAUAUGUAACCAAGAGCGGAUCCAGCAAGAAGUUAUAAUUUAAUUAUUAAUUUUAAUAAUAAUAUACACGUAAAAAGUAGAUAUUUUAUUAAUGUAGGUAUGUAAGUACUGCACUUAAAAAUUAAAAUAAAUCCUAAAAAAAAAAAUUAAAAUAACCCGUAAAAAUAUCUGAAUCCGCCCUUGUGGCUUGUAUGUAACCAUGCACUUGCAAAAGGAGGAAAUAUUUUAGAAGGUAUACCGGAAAACAGCUUAUCAGAAUUUCUAAAUGACAGUAAUUGAAUCUUAUAUGCAUUGAUCUAUAAAAAACCCCUUAUAUGAGUAUAUGUAACAGCUAUGAAAAAAUAAAUAAAACAGUUAGAUUUUAAAAAAAAAAAGAAAAAACAAUCGAUCCUGGAGACAUAGGGGUUUGAACUCUGAUCUUCUAGAUCACUCCCGACCGGCCGACUUCCCACCGAGCUGUUACAACUUU
rnacentral:misc_RNA from 1 species